rnacentral:snRNA from 1 species
AUCUAACCGGAUUUUGGAUCCAGC